CAGCACAGCCAUUUUGGACUUCAUCUCCCAGCAUGGGGGCUGGGGGCUGAUGGGAGUUGUAGUCCAAAAUGGCUGUGCUG